ensembl:lincRNA
AUGUCACUUUCUUCAUACUUUGGGGAUUUUUUAUCUGUUUGGUGUUUAGAUCUUAUGGAUGUUUUAUCUGGGGAUGUCUGCCUUAAGCUCCUAGAGGCGUAUGACGUGAUAGGGGACAUUUCUCUUGAGCCUCUGGAAGCAGAAGGCUUAAUUGAGGAAAUUUCUCUUGAAUUCCUGGGAGCAGGUGGUCUGGUUGGGGAAGUUUUUCUUAAACUCCUUGGAGCAGAUGAUCUAAUUGGAGAAGUUUCUCUUAAACUCCCUGGAGCAUCUUUAUUUAAUAAAGGCCAAUACUCAUCAGAAUGAUCUUGGGUUACUUCCUCUUCCAAAUCUUCCUCAUCUGAAAACUGAUCAUUUUUCUCAUCUCUAUCUAUUACCUUUUCCUGGGCAGUCAUUGCAGCUAACAUUUCAUUCAACUGCCGAUAGCUAGGUGUAGCCUCCUUUUCCUCACUCUCCUCUUUGAUAGAUACCUUUUUCUCUGCACUUUCCUCUUUAAGGUGUACUUUUUCAGAUUCAGGGGCAGGGUCUAGAGCGUCCCUAAUUAUAUUUCAUAAGGAAAAGGUGUCAGUAGGCACCUUUUCUGAGCCAUGUUCAGCAUGGUAAGUUUUUAAUUGUUUCCCUAUGCUCUCCCAAGUAUCUAAGUUAGCAGUGCCUUCUUCUGGAAACCAAGGACACUGUUCUUGUACAAAUGAAAAAAAUGAAUGAAUAUUGGAUUUCUUAACUUUAAUUCCUCGUUUAGUUAGCAACUGCAAGAUUACUCCUACAAAAAGCUGUCUUUCUUUUGAUUCACUGUUACCCAUGUCAGAAAAUUAAGUCUUAUAGAAAAGUCUGCCUCGUCAAGGGUUUUACCUUUGGCGAGGGGGAUUUUCUUAUCAACCCUAAGAUAGCAGGUUUCUCUUAAACCCUUCAACACUUCCCACUCCUACUAACUCUGUCUGUCCUACAGGAGGGUCUGCGGCACCCUGAGUGGGGUCCUACCAGUCCCAAACACUCAACACUGGGGGAACAACAGGGCUGAUGACCCUAGUUGUUCUGAGCAAUAGGGCUGAUGACCCUACUUGCUGCGUACUAGGGGAACAACAGGGCUGAUGACCCUAGUUGUCCAGAGCAAUAGAGCUGAUGACCCUACUCGCUCCAAGGGGGUGGCAAUAGGGCUGAUGAUCCUAAUUGCUUGGGGAACCUGCCUUCGAAUAGCCUGUUCUAGGCACCACUUGCCGGGGUCCUGCCCCAGUGGAUCCAGGGAAUUCGAAGGGUGGACGGAGUCGGCGAGGAAAGAUUUAUUUGUUUAUUAAUAUAAGAUUAGAUUAAGAAAGAAUAGUGUAGUACGAAAAUUAAGUGGAGAAAGAACGCCGAAUAACUUGGCUUACGGGGAAGGCCAAUAAAGAUCCAGACAAGGAGCUUGCACUGUCUACGUUGGGCCACCAGCGCCCACUUUAAUAUCUAAGAGUGCCCGCCAGGGCAAGUAAGUAGACUUAGUGAGCCGCCCCGCUCCAGGUGCGAAUUCAGCCUGAAAUUAGAGUGAAAAGGAGAGGGAGGGAAAGGGAGAAAAAGAGAGAGAGAGACACGGGGGGAGUCAGAUUCCCAAGAAACUAGGCCGAGAGACUAGUCCAAGAGACUGGUCAUUCCUUUAUUGUUCAAAAGGCUUUUAAUACUUUUGAUAAUACAUGGAGAUCAAUGGGUAACACAAACUUAUGCAGCGCUAGCAGUCCAAACUCUUAUCAAAACCAGGCUUUUCUCUCUGCAUACCUAGUUGUAUACACAAGUCUUAGGUGAUUUACAUCAUCUUCUGGUUAAAAAGGGCCAAUUAACAUUUUACAGCCUUUUUUCUGAUAAGGGUUUGUUAACUAGAAGACUUAUUUGUGUCAAUCAUCCCAAAGUCUGGUGCCACUGUCAGAAAGCACUAAAUAAAGUUACAUUCUUACAUAGCAAAGAUACAGCAGUUUAUAACAAGUGAAAGGAGUAC